rnacentral:rRNA from 1 species
GACGAACGCUGGCGGCGUGCCUAACACAUGCAAGUCGAGCGAUGAAACCCUUCGGGGUGGAUUAGCGGCGGACGGGUGAGUAACACGUGGGUAACCUGCCUCAAAGAGGGGGAUAGCCUCCCGAAGGGGAGAUUAAUACCGCAUAAUAUCAUGUUUUCGCAUGAAGAUAUGAUUAAAGGAGAAAUCCGCUUUGAGAUGGACCCGCGGCGCAUUAGCUAGUUGGUGAGGUAACGGCUCACCAAGGCCACGAUGCGUAGCCGACCUGAGAGGGUGAUCGGCCACAUUGGAACUGAGACACGGUCCAGACUCCUACGGGAGGCAGCAGUGGGGAAUAUUGCACAAUGGGCGAAAGCCUGAUGCAGCAACGCCGCGUGAGUGAUGACGGCCUUCGGGUUGUAAAACUCUGUCUUUGGGGACGAUAAUGACGGUACCCAAGGAGGAAGCCACGGCUAACUACGUGCCAGCCGCCGCGGUAACAC